UACAGGGGGUGCAAACGUUGCUCGGAAUCAUUGGGCGUAAAGCGCAUGUAGGCGGUUCGUUAUGUCGGAUGUGAAAGCCCUUGGCUUAACCGAGGAAGUGCAUCCGAAACUGGCGAGCUAGAGUACGAAAGAGGAUCGCGGAAUUCCCGGUGUAGAGGUGAAAUUCGUAGAUAUCGGGAGGAACACCAGUGGCGAAGGCGGCGACCUGGGCCAAUAUUGACGCUGAGGUGCGAAAGCGUGGGGAGCAAACAGG
rnacentral:rRNA from 1 species